AGUGCUCUAUGAGUUACUCUCCUAUUUAUGGCUCAAAAGAAAAUAAAAAACUCAUAAUAUUCCCUAAUAAUCCGAGAAUCGUUACUUCAGGAAGGAGGUGGAGUAACCCUAUAAGUAACGCAUACGUGUCAGCUUUAGAUUAGUUGUAGGAUAAAUAUAUUACAAAAAAUUUAUUUUCUUGUUUUUUUUUUCUUUUCCGACCCUUCUCUCUUUUCUUCUCUGUCGAUGUUAACGACAAUGGAUUCUUCUUUUCUCAAUUCAUUCUCUCGAUCUCGAGAUUGGGAUCUCCGGUUAGUUUAAUUAUGGCGUUUCUUUAACAAAUCUCCGGUUUCGGAGCUUUCGAACGAUCUUCUCCUCCGGGGCUAGUUGAUUGAGACGGCAUUUCCAAUCUCCGAUUUUCCAAUAACAGUGAUCAUCUCCUCGUUUCUUCAUGGGAUAAGCGUGUGAGGUUGUAUGAUGUGAGCACCAAUUCGUUGCGAGGCGAGUUCUUACACGGCGGAGCAGUACUCGAUUGCUGUUUUCACGAUGACUUCUCCGGCUUUAGUGUUGGCGCCGAUUACAAAGUCAGAAGGAUUGUUUUCAAUGUUGGCAAAGAGGACAUUUUGGGAACGCAUGACAAACCAGUGCGCUGUGACAUGUUUAACAUGGGGAACAACAAUGCCAUUCUUUCUGUUAAUACUUGUAUUGAGAUGGUUUUGAGCUGUGUUAAGGUGAAUAAGCUUAGGGAAUGUUUUGAUGUUGUGCUACUCGAUGUGUGACUAAAUGGAUCGUUUGCAGGUUCUGAUUUUUCAAAACUGCAGGCUAUGGUUUAAAAUGCAGGUUCUGGUUUUAAAGUUUCAUGUUUUGGUUGUAGAUGAGCUCAGAAACAACUUCAAAACUGGCAGAACAAAGAGCUACAAAUGGAGAAUUUCUCAGCUUCAAAACAUUUCCAUGAUGCUUGGCAAUAAGGCGAAAUCACAUAAGCUUUGUAUCAAGAUCUUUCCAAGCCUGAGUUUGAAGCUUUUCUACCUGAGCUUUUUUCAUUUCCUUUCAAUGUCCUUUUCCUUGUCUACAUUCUAGUUUUCCAUUGUUGAAUUACUUGCAAGAGUGUGUGUCAAGUUUAAAUUCAAAACACUUGUACACAAAAUUAAUAAUG